CCCAGACCUCACUGAAGGUUGGCAGUGGAGGUGAGGGUAUCUUGCUCGAGAUUCCUGCCUAUCUCAGGCUUUCUAAAGUGACUGUCAUUCUCAUAGAACUUCUUCAAAAGAAGAACGUAUUCCUGCCUUUUGACAGUUGCAGUCAUUUUCUCUGAAGUACUACAACCUUGGCUUUGCAAAAGAACUUCCAGAAUUGAAUGCUGAUUUUAUGAAGCUGCUGGUCUCCAUCUCAUGUAGAACAGUGGUGUGUGGAAUGCCUACUGAAGUUUCAGUCAACUGGGUUAGUUUGUCUCUUGUCAAUUGUUCCUCUAAUUAAUAAUAAUAAAAAGGAAUACAAACUCAUUUUGUGUGGCAACGCUCACUAGGCAGACAGCUGCAUAAUACAUUCCGCUCUGAAAUCCAGCUGAUACUCCACAGCAGAUACUAAGGUUGUAUGCAUUUGGUCUUAAAGGUGUAAUGACACUCUGGAGUGGGCCUUUAUCAUCUGUAGGGUUUUUGAUUUGAGAGGAUGAUAGUAAGGAUACUUCUGCUGUCUUCUGUGUGAUCGUGAUUUUACCACAAGCAGAGGACCAGUAGCAAUCUAAAAGAAUGGCUUAAUAAAACCAGAUUUCCUUGCUAGUGAAAAUGUGGCAUAAUAAACCAUUUUUAUGAGAAGUUAAACUGGUGAAGUGGAAAUUCAUCCUUAUUUCUACAUGGGAAGAACUGUUACGUAGGAAGUCUUGUUCUGGGAUGGAUAACAGAUUCUCUGUCUGAAAAGUCUUCAGUAUUUUUUUCCUGUGAAUUUGGUUAAUGGAUUGAAGACCACCUUUAAUGUAGUUCAGAGCUCUACUUGUUAAUAGUGAUGAAGAGGAGAACAAGUGGACUUCCUUACAGAUUCACCAUAAAAUUCCACCAUGUUGGCUCCUUACUACUCUACAGUUUGCAUUUUGCACAGCACCUUGGAAAAAUCUCAUGGACUGUUUUUCUCUUCAGAACGUGAGGACUUAACUGCUUACAUUUCUGAGCAACAUUUUUGGCCACUGAAGAGGAUUGUUAUAACCUGUAUGAUUCAGGAAAAACUGCUCUGAGAAUGCUCAACUGGGACCUCAUGGACAAUUUUAUUCUACGCACUCAAAGUAGAGCUUUGGUCCCCCAGCAAAUGCUGUCACAGAUCUCAGUAGGGUCAUUUUUCUGCCUUACUUGAGAGAAAAUAAUAAUUAUUCAGGAAAAAUAUUUUAGAGUUUGAAACAGCUUUUCUUUAUGUUCACCACAUCCACAACUGACCAAACAAUAAACAAUGGGAAAGUUUGUCUCAGAAACACAGCUUAGCAGAAUAAAAAAAGCUGGAAUUCUUUCAACAAAGUAUAUUCUAUUUUUCUUAGAUAUUAUGAAAACUGAUGUCACUUGUAAUUCUUCAGGCAAGAAAAAUCCUUCCAGUUUGCAGAACAUCAAUGCAGUCAUUUUUUCCCUUGACUAAUCUAUAAAAAGACAUUGUAUAUAAAUGUUAUUUUCUCUGCCAGAAAUGCAUUCCUGGAACAUAAUAAAGGCUUUUUUUGUUUUUGUUC
ensembl:lncRNA